GUCUAUGUAUUUUUAUGGCAGCCGGAGCUGACUAAUACAGACCUCAUUGCCCAUUCUUUCUUUGCCUUUGACUCCUAGGUCUUUAGCCUGCUAUAAUCAUGGAAAGAAGGGGAUUCCUUGUUGCUGCUUUGGUCUUUUGGUUUCGAGGCUUUUCUUCACUUGCUUCUGGGAGGAAACACUAUGAAGGCAAGAGUGCCGGCUUCCUAAGGAGAGAGUCAGAAGAUGAGCUGCAGAUUUCAACCCUGCCACUACUUGUGUGAACCCAGACAAGUCCUUUAGUAUCUCCAGCUCUCAGACAGGUUGCUUCAGCUCUUUGAGGCUCACAUUUUCUCAUCUGCAACACUGCAGACACUGCUAUACUCUGAAAUUUGGAACGACAGCUAGCUUUGGAGACUGGAAGCCCUGGAUGUGCAUCUCAGAUUCACCACUUUCUAGUUGGCUGAGCCAAUCUUCAGACAGGCCAGGUAACCCGAGCCUCUGUAAAGUGGGGAUCACAGCUACUCUAUGAAGUUGUGAGAGAGAGAAUGUUGUCAUUGGACAUGUCGAGUUGCCUCAUGAACACAAACACAUCCCACUUCCAAAGAUUGAACUACGCUUGUUUAGUAAACCAAACCAAAACAUUUAAAACGAUAGUUUUCUCUUUUUAACUCUGAAGUUAAUGCAUUUUCACAGCCCUAAUUCCAUUCUCAAUCGUUCCCAAUCUUUUAAAAGUGAUUUGGAAAUAAGCAUGCUGUUGCUGACACGCUUUUAGAAGGAGGAAAUUAACACACGAGUGUGAGUUGUGCACUAGACUCUAAUCGAGGUCUUUCCUCAUUAACAUAGUUGAUUCUCAUAACAACCCCAUGAAAUAGGAGUGAUUUUCCAGAAAGAAACUGAGGCUCAGAGAUGAACUUGUAGGGGGAAAAGCCCCUAAAAAGCCUAGUCUAACUGUAAAACCCUGCUCUUUUUACUCAUCAUGCCAGGCUGCACUUUAAACGUGCCAAACAAAUGAAAUUAUUUAAAAAAUAAAAACAAAUGGAAGUUAAUUUCCUCCUGAAGAAUUCUUUUUAAAAUGCCACGAGAACUCUCGGGAUAAUUGGAGACAUCCUUGGGCGGCACAGAACCACUGUUAUGGACUGUUACCUAAGCUCAAAGCACCACUGUAACUUUAUCCCACUGUACUUUCUGUUUGGCCGAAAAGAAACCAAGCUUCCUGGAGCCGGCUUCCACUUGGAUUCCAGCUUUCUGGCUCCUGAUGUGGAUUUGUGGUUUUCAACUGCUUGCAGUUUAAAUAGAAAAGACUAGAAGGCCUUGGAGAACUGGAAAAGGCAGGACAGCUGGGCGUCAUGUAGUUCUGAACUUUGACCAGCAGGUGUCUCCACAGACAAGGGAGAAGGUUCCUUUUGGCCUUGGAGGUGGAAGAUGGAUUUUCUAGUUUGAGGAAAACAGUGGCGGAAAUGAAGCAAACAAAGGUAGGUCAGUUCCCUACAGAAAUCAAUCCCAACAGUACAAAUGUUUCUUAACCAACAGCUGGAAAGGCGGUAGAAAACCUAAGCAAACCCCAAUCUUAAUGCGAGGAAGCCGCUGUAAAAGGAGAGUCUGUACUAUCUUCCCAGACAUGAAAGGCUGUUUGAAGGUGAGCACUAAAAACUGAGAGGCAAUUCCCAAGGCAGGUGUGACAGAGAAGACAGCUCUUUAGUCAGGAGAGAUGUGAACACGACGGGAAAAGAGGAAAGAUGCAGUUCUAUAGGUUUAGGACCGGGGAAAUAAAGAAUUUCCAUCUCAGGUGGACCUCUGAAGUUUUUAUUUUCUGUGAAAUGUUGUGAACCUUUUUGAUUCAGGGAAGAAAAGGAUCCAAAUACGCCAAACAUCUUAAUAUUUGUUGAGUCCCACAUUUUUCAUUUAGGAGAAAGCAGCAAAUUACAAGAAAAAUUUUAUUAGUGUAAAUAUUAGGGAGUUGAUCACAGGGUAACUCACCUUAAGGAGCAUACACUUUUGAGAAAAAAGUUGUCCUCGAUGAAUUUUUUUUCUCUACUACAUGUAUUUUCCCAUUGAUUGUCCUGAUAAAACCAAAAGUGUAUUUGCCUGAGAAUAUUGAUCCCAAAUGAUAAUAUAGUCACAUCUGAGAAUGCAGAAAACCUUUAAAAAAAUCAUGCUCAAAUAUGUUUUGGAUGACUUAAAGGGUAGUUAUUUAAUAAUAAUCUAAAAAUGCUUAAACUGUAUCCCAGAACAUACGCAAAGUUGUAAGGGCAACUUUGAUGUUUUAUGUAGUAGCUUGAAUGGUUCCAUCAAAAAGAAAAAUGUGGGCAAGCUGAACAGAAAGCCCUCAGCGGAAGGCUCAUUUAGCUUCUCUCAAGCCCUGUUCCCCAAGAUGUUUUAUAGCAGGGGACUGUGGACUUACUUCGGCUGCUCAGACCUGUUUCUGGAGACCCACGGGAAGCACCGAGACACGAGUAGGUCGAUCUUGGAUAGGAGGAGGAAAGACAGGCACACAGCCGAGGGGGGAAUGCAGAAGGCAGCCCUAACAAAGGGAAGGCGCCCCUUCAGCUCACCCGGAGAACCAGGACACGCUGAGUGUUCUGACAAUGUGUAUUCAACACGGCCCUGAUUUCUAGGUGAUGGCAGAAUUUAUAACUGGCUAAUAGUUUUCUUAUUUGGGAAUAUGUGGCCUGUAAGCGCUCUAUAAUGUUGCCUUUUGGCAUACAGAAUGUCUCCAUAAUGCUUCUGUAUCAACUGAAUGCUCCUAGAAUGUUAGCAUCUUUCAGAGCAGUCACGAGUUGGGCCAAUGCAGAGUGAGGGGUUGGACUUGCUGGUAAACUGUCUGCAGACAGGCUAAGCGGGACUUUAAAAUCGUGAGGUAUGGUACUACCUCCCACUGCUUAUAUCACUCUCAGGUCAGACCUUAUGUCUCAGAGGUGUUGUAUCUCUUCUAGAAGUUUCUAAGGGCCUAUCAUAUCCAUCAAGAACGCCUUGGUUUGCCCUUUUCAAAUUCGAG
ensembl:lncRNA